rnacentral:tRNA from 1 species
GACCUACCCAAAUCGAACCGAAAGCCCACAAAGGUAAUUAGGUAAGAGAUGGUCACUCAAGGUCGGACACGGAAUGUAGAGAGAAAACUUUCAAACUAUAAAAUUGGGUUCACUGAUAAGGGCUAUUAGCUCAGGUGGUUAGAGCGCACCCCUGAUAAGGGUGAGGUCCCUGGGUUCGAGUCCAGGAUGGCCCAUCCAACACACAGAGUGAAGGCUCGAUGUGGAGAGAAAUGGAAUUCAGCACCGAAACAGUGAAUAACUGUGCGAAUGCUGGAUACUCCAGCCAGAACCUUGAAAACUGCAUAUUCACGCAAAAUAGCAGGCAGUUGACACUGAGAAAUCAGUGAAAAUUGCACAGACACUAAUGAGAGU